rnacentral:lncRNA from 10 species
UAUACAGGGAUUCAAAAACUGCUUGGGACACUUCUGGGUCCAGCUGAGAUAGAACAUUGCCAUUCCUCUCAGAUCCUCAUUUUACAAAUAAAAAUCCUUGGACAUAGCACAACGAAGAAACAUACAAGGACUGUUAAAGGUAGAAAGAAGUCAGACUCUUAGGGACUGUGGGAUUUGAGGAGCAAUGCAAUGUUGAGUUUUUCUGCCUUCCAUAUAUCUUGGAUGGGGUGCCAAAGAAGUCUGCAACCUGGGACAACCAGUGGGGACAAAAAUUAAGAGCUUCAAGAAAAGCCUAUUCCUUCUAACCAAAGGACCAGGAAAAGGGAGUCCUAACAAAACAAAACCUUUCAAUAAUACUUGUCUACUCCAGUCAAACACCAAUGGAAAUACUGCCCUCCUGCCUGCCCUGUUGAAUGAGGCAGUUGUACUCUGGUUUCUCUACUGGGGUGGUAUCAGCAAGCUAAAUGGUGAGCUGUUCUUCCAUCUCUCAGUCAGAAGAAGUGGGCAGCAUUCCAAUUCUGCUACUGGGUGGUAUCAACAGAGCCGAGUAGAAGCUAAACUUCCAGCCCCUGCUCAGCUGAAACAAGCAGUACUUCAGUUCUACCAGGGUGAUGUCACCACUGCCCCACAAAAUCAGACGAUACUUUAAUUUUCUAGCUGGGGUGUUAUAAGGAGAGGAAGGGAGAGUUUGGAGCUGAAAAAAUAUCUGAAGAAAUAAUGGUUGAAGUUUCCCCAAAGCUGAAAUGGGGAAAGGCGUGAACUCACAGAUUCAAGAAGCUGAGUAAGUCCUACACAGGAUAAAUUCAAAUACGUCUAUGCCAAGUCAUAUCAUAAUUUUUUGAAAAUGAAAAAAUAAAAAAUAAAUUCUAAAAGAAAGCUGGAGAGAAACAACAUAUUCUCAUAGAGAAAUACCAAGUUUGUUGACAGCUGAUUUCUCAUCUGAAAUUAUGGUGGCCAAUAAGAAGAGGCACAUUUUUCAAGUGCUGUAAAAGAACUGUGAGUCACAAAUUGUAUAUCCAGCAAAAAUAUCCGUUAGGAACAAACAGCAAGUAAAGACAGUCUCAAAUAAAUGAAAACAGAUUAUUUUGCACUGGCAGGCCUACCCUUAAAGAAUGGAUAAAGCAAGUUAUCCAAGGAAAUGAUGACAAAAGAAUGCUUAGAACUUCAGAAAGGAAGAAAGAUCAAUGGAAUGGAUAAAAACAGAGAAAACAGACAGACCGAAAAUGAGAAGAGUCCAGCAUCUGAUGAAGCAGGA